rnacentral:tRNA from 1 species
GUUUUAAUAAUUUAAUAAAAAUAUUGGUUUUGUAAAUCAACUAUAAACAGCAGUUUUUAAAACA